GACGAACGCUGGCGGCGUGCUUAACACAUGCAAGUCGAACGAUGAAGCGGGUGCUUGCACUCGUGGAUUAGUGGCGGACGGGCGAGUAACACGUGAGUAACCUGUCCUUUUCUUUGGGAUAACGGCUGGAAACGGCUGCUAAUACUGGAUAUUCAGGCUGCAUCGCAUGGUGUGGUUUGGAAAGGUUUUUUCUGGGAUUGGGUGGGCUCGCGGCCUAUCAGCUUGUUGGUGGGGUGAUGGCUUACCAAGGCUUUGACGGGUAGCCGGCCUGAGAGGGUGGUCGGUCGCACUGGGACUGAGAUACGGCCCAGACUCCUACGGGAGGCAGCAGUGGGGAAUAUUGCACAAUGGACGAAAGUUUGAUGCAGCGACGCCGCGUGGAGGGUGUAGGCCUUCGGGUUGUGAACUCCUUUUUCUCGCGAAAAAGGCACAGUUUUGGCUGUGUUGAUGGUAGUGGGGGAAGAAGCGCCGGCUAACUACGUG
rnacentral:rRNA from 1 species